rnacentral:rRNA from 1 species
UACAGAGGGUGCGAGCGUUAAUCGGAAUUACUGGGCGUAAAGCGCACGUAGGUGGCGACGUAAGUCGGGUGUGAAAGCCCCGGGCUCAACCUGGGAAUUGCAUUCGAGACUGCAUUGCUGGAGUACGGAAGAGGAGGGCGGAAUUCCCGGUGUAGCGGUGAAAUGCGUAGAUAUCAAGAGGAACACCGGUGGCGAAGGCGGCUCUCUGGUCCAAUCCUGACGCUGAGGUGCGAAAGCUAGGGGAGCAAACGGG